UUAUUAGCUAUUACUCAGAAAAGGAAAACAGUCAUUGUUUUUUUCGUGCUUAAACGGCAAAAUGUGCGCGCCAAGCAAUUAAACACUAGUAGUAUCCAUCCACUAAGCUACAGUUUCGGAAAACACUCGCACAAAAUAAAAAAAAAAUCAAUUUGCAAUAUUCGUGCCGCCACUACCAUCGCGCUUCUAUAAAGAAAAAAAAAUCUACCAAUACAAAAAGAACUCAUUCGUUUGCUUUUCCUGCCAAAUAUCGAUCGAUAUCCGUUUUAACUAAUUUUGGCCAGAUUGCAUUAGCUUUCUUUCCGAACCAAGUAUUUGUGUUUUUGUUGUAAUCAUUCGCUUCGGUUUGGGUAAAGAUUGAACAGCCUAGAGGAAGAGAGGAGAGGAGGCUGCAAAAAUCACACGCUUGUCGCCGGGUGUAAGACGCAAAGAGAGCAGCUGAAGAAAUUACCAAGGCAUAUUUAAAAUAAAAAAGAGAUAUAGUAUAUAUUUAUAUAUAUGCUCUUGUGAAUAUUAAGAUGUGUGCUCAUUGAAUUCAAUAAAAAUCGCAAAUAUUAAUGAGAUUUGUUGAUGCUGCUGCACGCCAAGGAAACAUUCGAAUUGUAUGUAUAAAAAUAAACCAAACAAAUCGGCGCCGACAUUUGCCACAGCUAGCAACAAGAGAGCAUCAGCAAAGAGAGAGAAAGAGAUAUAGUUAGCAAGCGAACAAGCAAGCAUCCGCCCAGAGUCCCCUUGUGCUCAGAUACUCCGCACGCCCGCGCAUCGUAACGAAAGACGGCUUUGCUCUUUGGGCGUCAUCGAUAUUCGUGUAGCCGUUUCGUUUGUUUACGCGAGGCGCGUGUAGACAAACACGACACACCCUGUGCGCACUCCAGCAAGGAGAGUCCUGCCCUUACCCACAUUGCGUGCGUGACUGGCUGUCACCCGGGCGUCUUAUCUAUCGACCACACAGCAACGCCUAUUGACCGAAGACCGCUCCUGCAACGACAAAACGACAACGACAAAAAAAAAAAAAAAACUAACAACAACAACGCGCCAUUGCCUGCCAGUUCCUCUUCCUUGUUCCAUUGGGAAGCAGCCAUUUGUGUUUUUCGUGACCAACAGUAUGAAAUGAGUGCCUCAUCCGAGUGCGAGACGGCAACGAAUCCAAGCGAAUUAUCAACGGCAGCAGCCAAGGGCAACAGUUGAACGACAACAACAGCUUGAAGAAGCAGAACAACAACAACAACUAGCAACAAUUAACAAUUGCAAUAAACAACAACAAUAAAGGAAAAACGAAAGAAAAAACACGAGGAAAAUAUUAAACUAGAGCAUAGAUACAGUAUAUACCAGCUAAGAGCUACAAAACUCUGCACAAACCAAACCAAACCAAAAUAAAUAACAACAACAACAA